UAUGGGUAUCUAUGCAUAGGUCUGAGAUUGUCAUAGCUGUUUUGUUGUGUAGACAGUCUCAGACCUAUGCAUAGAUACCCAUA
rnacentral:pre_miRNA from 1 species